AGAAAAUAAGUGAUGGUUUCUCUAGAUAAGACCCUUAUUCCUCGUCUGGGAUCGCGUAGAACGCUUUGAAGCUGCACUGAAACUGUAAUUUUGACCUUCAGCCGUUUGGAGGCCAUUGAAGUCCACAAUAUGGAGAAAAAUCCUGGAAUGUUUUCAUCAAAAACCUUCAUUUCUUUUCAACUGAAGAAAGAAAGACAUGAACAUCUUGGAUGACAUGGGGGUGAAAUCAUUCAGUCUCAGUGUCACAUUUUGUCCGAUAAAGACAUCCGAGGCUACUACAAAGCAGGAUACCGAAACCUGGUGUUGAAGUACAGCUACAUGGGAAUCGUGGAUCAGAAGCAGCAUGAGCGUCUGGAUGCGUGGGUGACUCAGGACCAGCACGAGGACACCAACACUGCAGAGUACAGCCAGCUUCUGCAGGAAUUAAAGUAAAAAUGUCUAAUGUUUAUGAACACGUUUUCUUCAGAGCUUCAUGAUAAAUAUGAUGAUGGUAAGGAAGAUGAUAAUAAGUAGUACUACAAAAAGUAGGAAAUGAUUGAUCUCUGCCAUUGAAAUCUCAAAAAAAAAAAAAAAAAAAAAAAUAGCAAGUUAAGUUGUCUUGUUCUAUUGGUAGAUCAUUUUUUAAGCAUUUAUUUCUAGAAAGCAGCAAUAGAAUAAGAGCAUUUAAACUCAAAAUCAGUAAAAAUGUCUAAGUUUGCAUGAUGAUAAUGUUGUAAUGUGUGUGUUUGGGGUUUAAACAUGUAGAGGGUUAAAAUAUUACAGGGUUAUUUCACAAAACAUGAAUUGUAUUCCAAAUAUAAGAAUGUGGGGUUGUGAUUAAUGGUGUUGGGUUGUGAUUAAAUGUUGAAAAUAUAUAACACAAAAUCUAAAAGCAAAUUUUCAGCUUCUUUUCAGUAAACUGAUGUACACAUUACAGCUCAGAACAGGAGCAUGCCCAGUUUCAAGCUUCUCCCUGAUUAAAACUACAAACACUGUGAAAUCAUUUUACUUAAAACUGUGCUAAAUUUAUAAUCCCAUACUUUUUCAUAAUCAGUGAAAUGAGUUUCUGAACAUCUACAUUUUACACGUGUGUAUUGUAAAAUGUUUCGUUAGUAAUCUGCAUGAUGCUGGAUUUAUACUUGUAACUCUCGGUUUCUGAAAUAUUUCCCAAUAAAAUUUCAAUAUUUUA